rnacentral:rRNA from 1 species
UCAAUCUGAGAGUUUGAUCCUGGCUCAGAACGAACGCUGGCGGCAGGCCUAACACAUGCAAGUCGAACGCUGCAGCAAUGCAGAGUGGCAGACGGGUGAGUAACGCGUGGGAACCUUCCCAGUGGUACGGAAUAGCCCAGGGAAACUUGGGGUAAUACCGUAUACGCCCCUCGGGGGAAAGAUUUAUCGCCAUUGGAUGGGCCCGCGUCGGAUUAGCUAGUUGGUGAGGUAAUGGCUCACCAAGGCGACGAUCCGUAGCUGGUCUGAGAGGAUGAUCAGCCACACUGGGACUGAGACACGGCCCAGACUCCUACGGGAGGCAGCAGUGGGGAAUAUUGG